UACAGAGGGUGCAAGCGUUAAUCGGAGUUACUGGGCGUAAAGGGCGCGUAGGUGGUUGUUUAAGUGAGAUGUGAAAGCCCUGGGCUUAACCUGGGAACUGCAUCUUAUACUGGGCAACUGGAGUACUGUAGAGGGUAGUGGAAUUUCCGGGUGUAGCGGUGAAAUGCGUAGAGAUCGGAAGGAACACCAGUGGCGAAGGCGGCUACCUGGACGAUACUGACACUGAGGCGCGAGAGCGUGGGGAGCAAACAGGG
rnacentral:rRNA from 1 species